CUCAGGCGAUCCAUCUAGCUUGGCCUCCCAAAGUGCUGGGAUUACAGGCGUGAGCCACUGUGCCUGGCCCCAGUAGAUAGUUUUUAAACCCGUGCCCGCCUCUAAUAAUCCCCAAUGUCUGUUGCUGCCAUCUUUAUGUCCGUGAGUACCCAGUGUUUAGCUCCUACUUAUAAGUGAGAACAUGCAGUAUUUGGUUUUCUGUUCCUGUGUUAAUUUGCUUAGGAUAAUGGCCCUCAGCUGCAUCCAUGUUGCUACAAAGGACAUUAUUUUGCUCUUUAUGGCUGUGACAGACUACUUUUUAUUUAAUUAAUUAAUUUUUUUUUGUUUUGAGAUGGAGUCUUGCUCUUGUUGCCCAGGCUGGAGUGCAAUGGUGCGACCUUGGCUCCCUGCAACCUCUGCCUCCUGGGUUCAAGUGAUCUCUUGCCUCAGCCUCCCAAGUAGCUGAGAUUAUAGGCACCCACCACCACGCCCGGCUAAUUUUUUUUAUUUUUAGUAGAGACGGGCUUUCACCAUGUUGGCCAGGCUGGUCUCGAGCUCCUGACCUCAGGUGAUCCACCCGUCUUGGUCUCCCAAAGUGCUGGGAUUGCAGGCAUGGUGAGCCACUGCGCCCAGCUGACAAACUACUUUUUAAAUUUUUUUUUAUUUUUGAGACAGAGUUUCACUCUGUUGCCCAGGCUGGAGUACAGUGGUGUGAUUGCAGUUUACUGCUGGCUUGACCUCCUGGGUUCAAGUGAUCCUCCCAGCUUAGCCUCCCAAGUAGCUGGGAUUACAGGGGUGGGAACCGCCAAACCUCUCCCUUCUUUUUGACUUCACCCUUGGAUACCAUCAAGGCCAGAGGAUGGAACCAAGAUAACAUAAAAUAGGUGCUCCUUUGUGAUAAUGGGCUAUUUGUAUCUCUGAGGGCUUCCACACAGGAUGGCCAUUCAAGAAGCUUCUGCUCUGCCUUUCAUUACAGUCUAUCUUUAGUCCUCCUAAACCUUCAGCUAUAAUCUCUAUGCAAUCAACUUAAAUAUAUGUUUGUAGUAUUGUCCCUUUCUCCCAAAUUCCAUGUAAAACACUUGCCUGAAUUGAAUUGUUUCCACAAAGUUGUUUUCCCCUGUGGACUUUGUUUAUAUCAGUAGUUUUUAUUUUCCCAAUUUUCCAAAUUCAAGAGUGAUAAUUAUAAAUAGUUGUGUUCUUGUUUGUUAUCUUUCUCACUAGAAUGUAUACUCUAAGAAGGCAAGAACCUUGCUUGCUUUAUUCAUUGUUGUAUUCCUAGCUUCUGUUACAGUGUCUGGCACAAGAGUAAGUGCUCAAUAAAAAUUUAAAAUCCA